UUAAUGAAAAGCAUAUUUGCACUGCAUUUAUUGUGAUGUGUUACUUGUCGCCUAUAAAAAUGUGUUCAGGUGAACAGUACCAUCUGGAGUGUCUCAGUAAUUAUUUAUCCAAUAUCACCUGCUCCCUGAACAUCUCGGCUGAGUCUCUGGGCAAUGAAUCAUCCUACUGGCUGCAUUUCAGCACAUAUGACGAACACCAUGACUGCACACUGAAGAUGGGAGAACAGUCGUUACUGUGUGAGUUGGAUUUGUCACCGGAAGUGAUUUUCAGCGAUGUGGACAGCUACAGGAUCUCCCUCCAUUCCGGUUACCAUGGCAACAACUUCUCUGUCAUACUAGAUGCUAACUUCAUGCCUAGUAAAAACAGUAAGAGCAAGUAGCUACAUGCAUUUCAGAGGCACAUGAGACCACAGUUCUGCUCACUGAUGUGUGUGUGUGUUGUAGUUCGUCCAUUCCCUCCGUCUGACCUGUCGCUGAUCUGGGAGAAAGACCGGGCUCUUUUCCAGUGGCAGAGCGGAUAUGAUGCAGACAAUAGUUUACUCAUAUCCCACUUACAGUACCAGCUCAGCAUUUACAGUCAACACCAGCUGUAUGAGGUAGAAGCUGUUGACCAGAAGGUGUAUGUGGAUGAGUCUAGAUUUGAGCCUCACACAAAUUACACAGUGCGCGUGAGAUCGCAGCCAGAUCAAGUGGAUUACAAGGGCGUGUGGAGUCUGUGGGCCCCUGCGUUACACUGGAGAUCAGGGGACAUUCAAAAAGAGACUCCAGGAGGAUCGUUCCAUAUUGCCUGGUAUCUACUGCUAUUGCCAUUGCCACUGGUCCUUCUGUCCUGUAUCCCAUAUUCUAGAUGGAGGAAGAAUGAUUUUAUACCAUCACCAGCCCCUUAUUUCAGAGACUGGGAUAUAGAUGUUCAGAUCCACUCAAUGCUGUCAGGUAAGAUGAGAGAUAUAAUGCAGGGGGAGGAGUCUCUCCAGAUUGACAUUCUGACGGAGAGCACAGACACGCCCCCUCAACCCACCAGCUUAGACUAUGAGGAUAUGGGAGAGAUCGAUGAGCAUGAGUCUCCCAGCAUGCCGCAGUCUCCUGUGGGUUCAGAGGUCGACUCAGGCUGCUGGAUUCGCGAUUUUGUCACAACCGAGAGAGGAAGCAUCACAUGCAGUGAGGACUACUGCACACUCUCCGGUUCACACACUUAUGCAGUCUAA
ensembl:lncRNA